AGCUAAAUAUAGUCCAAAUCAAAUCCCUUUAAAUUAUCUCUAAAAUUAAAAUAAAACAUUCAUCAACAAUUAAAGUAUUAGGUGAUAGAAAUUUUACUUGGCACUAUAGAGAAAGUACCGUAAGGGAAAACUGAAAGAGAAUUAUAAGUGAAAAACAGCAAAGCUUAAAACUUAUACCUUUUGCAUAAUGAUUCAACUAGAAACCUUUAGCAAAAAGAAUUAUAGUUAAACAACCCGAAACCAGACGAGCUACCUAUCAGCAGCCUGUUUAGAGCAAACUCAUCUAUGUGGCAAAAUAGUGAGACGACUGGUAGGUAGAGGCGAUAAACCUAUCGAGCCUGGUGAUAGCUGGUUGUCCAGAAAGGAAUUUUAGUUCCAAUUUAAAUUUACCUAUAAAUAAAUAAACUAUAAUGUAAAUUUAAAUAUUAAUCUAAAAAGGUACAGCCUUUUAGAUACGGGAUACAACCCCCUCUAGAGAAUAAAAAUUUUAAACCACAAUAGUAGGCCUAAGAGCAGCCAUCAAAUAAGAAAGCGUUAAAGCCCAACAGCAUAAAGACUUAAUAUCACAAUAACAAUUUAAUUCCUAACAUAAAACUGGACUAUUCUAUUUUCAAAUAGAAGUAAUAAUGUUGAUAUGAGUAACAAGAAAAAUUUUCUCCCCGCAUAAGUGUAUAUCAGAACGAAUAAAUCGCUGAUAGUUAACAAAAUUAAUCCCAUUAACUACCACAUACCUCAAUAUUAAUUGUUAAUCCAACACAGGAGUGCAACAAAGGAAAGAUUAAAAAGAGUAAAAGGAACUCGGCAAAUAAGAACCCCGCCUGUUUACCAAAAACAUCACCUCUAGCAUAAAAAGUAUUAGAGGCACUGCCUGCCCAGUGACUUUAGUUUAACGGCCGCGGUAUCCUGACCGUGCAAAGGUAGCAUAAUCAUUUGUUCUCUAAAUAGGGACUUGUAUGAAAGGCUUCACGAGGGUUUAACUGUCUCUUACUUUUAAUCAGUGAAAUUGACAUUCCCGUGAAGAGGCGGGAAUAAUAUAAUAAGACGAGAAGACCCUAUGGAGCUUUAAUUAAUUAAUUUACAUGGCCUCAUACAAUCUCUACAAGAGACAACAAAGCCAUAAUUAAAUUAAUAAUUUAGGUUGGGGUGACCUCGGAGCAAAACUCAACCUCCGAGAAUAAUUCUAUUAAGACUUACAAGUCAAGAUUAUGUCAUUACACAAUGAUCCGCCAUCGGCGAUCAACGAAACAAGUUACCCUAGGGAUAACAGCGCAAUCCUAUUCAAGAGUCCAUAUCGACAAUUAGGGUUUACGACCUCGAUGUUGGAUCAGGACAUCCCAAUGGUGCAGCAGCUAUUAAUGCGUUCGUUUGUUCAACGAUUAAAGUCCUACGUGAUCUGAGUUCAGACCGGAGUAAUCCAGGUCGGUUUCUAUCUAUUAACUAAGUCUCUCCCAGUACGAAAGGAUCAGAGAGACAGGGCCUACUUAUAACUAAGCGCCUUAACAAAACAGAUGAAAUAAUCUCAAUCAUACUAUAACCAUAAAUGUACCCUAGAUAAAGGAUC
rnacentral:rRNA from 1 species